rnacentral:misc_RNA from 1 species
AUAACUGCACUUCAAAGAUGGCGAACGAUACGAGCAAGCUACUGUUGUCUUCACAACAAGAAAAACCCAAUCAUUAUACCUACCUGAAGGAGUUCCGCGUGGAGCAGUGCCAGUCGUUCCUGCAGCACAAAUGCAAUCAGCAUCGUCCGUUCAUAUGUUUUAAUUGGCAUUUUCAAAAUCAGCGGCGUCGGCGACCCGUCCGUAAACGCGACGGCACCUUCAACUACAGUGCGGAUAAUUAUUGCACCAAAUACGAUGAGACCACAGGCAUCUGUCCCGAAGGCGACGAAUGCCCCUUCCUGCACCGCACCGCUGGCGACACCGAGCGACGCUACCACUUGCGUUACUACAAGACAUGUAUGUGUGUCCAUGACACGGACAGCCGGGGCUACUGCGUCAAGAAUGGCCUGCACUGCGCCUUUGCCCAUGGAAUGCAGGAUCAGCGGCCACCCGUAUACGACAUCAAGGAGCUGGAGACCUUGCAGAAUGCGGAAAUUACCCUCGACAGCACCAAUGCCCUGAAUGCCCUGGACAAGGAGCGCAACUUGAUGAACGAAGAUCCCAAGUGGCAGGACACCAACUAUGUGCUGGCCAACUACAAGACGGAGCCAUGCAAGCGUCCGCCACGCCUGUGCCGACAAGGCUAUGCCUGUCCACAGUAUCACAACAGCAAGGACAAGCGUCGAUCGCCCAGGAAGUUCAAAUACAGAUCAACACCUUGCCCCAAUGUGAAGCACGGCGAAGAGUGGGGCGAGCCGGGAAAUUGCGAGGCCGGCGACAAUUGCCAGUACUGUCACACACGCACUGAACAGCAGUUCCAUCCGGAGAUAUACAAGUCCACCAAAUGCAACGAUGUACAACAGGCCGGCUACUGUCCACGCAGCGUAUUCUGCGCCUUUGCCCAUGUCGAACUUUGUGUAAUGGCCGAUGAGAAGACGUGGGAACAUGAACUUUCGCUUCGUGACCUCAUUUCCAACGCCUUGCCCGACUUACAGCCACGGGAUGUGCACCAUUUGGGCGAUAAUCUUGCUCACUGGAAGAUCCACGCGAGAACUCACUGUCGUCGAGUCUGGCCAAUACUAGCUUAUUAACACGUUCCUCGGCGCCAAUUAACAUUCCUAAUACGACACUAAGUAACUCAAUUAAUGAUUUCAACUCGGGUGGCUUUGCCGUCAACAUUCCCAGCAGCUCGCUCACCUACAGUCCAACCAAUCACGCCAAUCUCUUCGCCAUGGAUGCAU